GAUUGAAGGGCACUGUGGUUAGAGCGUAGGUCUCGUAACCGAAAGGUCGCGGGAUCGAGUCCCGCUAGAGGCU
rnacentral:tRNA from 1 species